GUAACUGUAGCCUCCUGAGAUUCAUGCCUUCUUCUUGUAUGUAUAUAUGCAUGCAGAAAAAGUAUCCAUAUGCAUAAAUUAUAUAAAUAAGUAAAUAUUAAAAACCAUAAAGUAUACAUGUAAACCUAUAACACACAUCACACAGCAAGGUCAGAUGCUUUCCCUGGCAACGUAGGAUCCAAGUAAGUUAGCAACCAGGUCCAUUUCUCUUUGUGCUUGUGGCUGUCACCAAGACUUUGAAAGCACAAAACAAGUUAAAAUGGUAAUGUUUUUGAAAGUGAAGCAAAACUCGUGACAGAGGGAGCCUGGGGUGAAGUACACUUGGGAGGCCAAGGCAGGAGGAUUUCCAGUGUGACGCCAACUUGAGCUACACAGAGAAUUCUGAGCAAUCAGAGCUAUAUAGCAAGACUUUAGCCUCAGGAAACAUACAAAAUGUUAAAUAAAUAUAAAACAUUUACACAGAGAAAAUAAAUAACAGUCUAUGGGUAAGUUAGGAGACAUUUGACACACAUAAAUAUAACAGACUGGUAGAAAAAAAAUCUUCAGUAGCAUUAACAACAAAAAUUCAAGGAAUACCAAAGCUGCACAGAGAAACCCUGUACCAAAACAACAACAAAAGAAAAAAAUCAAAGAAUAAGUACAGUGGAAAUGUAAGAGCCGGGUAAAUAUGACAAAAUGAAAAAAGUUACAAAUCACUAAAAGAUUUUAAACCUAAACGAGUCAGUGUUGUAAUAUAGUUUUCUUCAACAAGUCCAAAUUUAACACAAUUUUAAAUUUUCAACAGAUUUCUGUGUAACUUAAAACGCUAUUUCCAAAAAUGUACAUGGAAAUCUGAAGGGCCAGUGAUACUCGAGAUAACCUCGUGAGGACAGACAACAGAGUGAUGGAGCUUGAUUUAAUCAUUAGUGUGUAGCUCAUGGGUAGAGGUUGCUGACCACAUUCAAGGCCCUGUAUUCAACCCCCAGCACCUGCCUUCUAGUUAUACAGGGUUAGAUCAAAUCAUCAAUGCAAGACAGCACAGAGAUAAAGCAGUCUACACAGGUGUUUGAAAUCGGCAUGUCACAUGAGAUGUUGCAAGUCACUGAGGAAAGAGUAAAAACACUGCAUACUGAAACACCUGUUUACGUAAUACACAAUGCAUGUAUGCAAAAAUAAUAUGCAUACAUAUAGCUAUUGUGUAUAGAAUGUAUAUUUGUGCAUAUACUACUACUACUACUACUACUACUACUACACACACACACACACACACACACACACACACACACCAUACAUUAAAGUCAAUGAUUAUGGGGAUCAGGGAAGUUAAAAUGUUCAGGAGUUAAACAGUGAUAAUAGCUACAAAAAUCUAUGACUAUACUAAGAAAAACACUGUAUCAUUUUAAAGUGUGAAUUUUACACUGUGAAAUAAAUGUAAGAACAUUUAAAAUUCAGCAACCACUUCGUAGUUGCUUAGGAUGUACAGAGCCUGGGCUUGGGCUACAGUAUUGGAAACCUGUCUGUCUGUCUGUCUCUCUGUGUGUGUGUGUAUGUGUGUGUGUGUGUAUGUGUGUGUCUGUCUAUCAUCUACCUAUCGACAUAUCGAAUCUACUUAACUAUUUAUCCAUCUGUCAUUCAUAAAUAAUAUCUAUGCCAAAUGCAUCUAAAAUGUCCAUGUCAAGGGCAAUAUCUUAGAAAACCACAAGAGGGCAGUUUGACCUUGAGUUUGGGCCCUACACAGGCCCUGACUGGAGUGAUGUUUCCUGAUGCUGAGAGAGCCUGGUGGUUGGUAGCAGUAUCAGAAAGAUGACUGUUCCACCAGCUCCCUGGGUCCCGUCGCCGCUUCAGCCCCAAAUAACACACGGACACCGUAUUAAUUAUGAAACUGUUGGCCAAUGUCUAGGGCUUCUUACUGGCUAGCUCUGACUUAAUUUCUAACCCAUUUCUAUCAAUCUAAGUAUUUCCACGUGUUCUUCUCUUACCGGAGAAAUGUCUGGAGACAUGUUACUCCUCUCUGCCUACCUUUCCCAGAAUCCUCCUCAUCUCCUAGACCUGCCUAUCGUGCUGCCUUGUUGGCCACAGAGUUUUAUUCAUCAACUGACACACAUUCUCAGAAAAGAAAAAAUACUUAUGUUGCUGAGAAACCCAUUUGAUGAACCAGUAAAAAUCUGUGCAAUCUGGACUCAUGACCACACGUCUUUGGAAUUCUGUGGACCAAUCAAGAAGCAUGCAUCCAUAAAACAAUAAAACACCUCUGCUGCCUGUCAAGAGUGAUGGGUCCCUUCACAUAGCAGUGCGCAUUAACGACUGACACGGGCUGCUGCUGGUACCGGAUGGACGGACCAUGUCAACCUACAGGAGGAGAGCAGCCUUCACCAUCAGAAUCCAUCAGACCGUCACAGGAUGAACUAAAGUCACAGAUUCCUCUCUGUGGCACUGGGGAUGAAGCCAGUGUGGGUGCCAGACAAGCACUCUGCCUCUGGGCUGUCUUUUAAUUUUGACAGGGACUCACUGCAUGAUCAUCUGAGCUUGAACUCAUCCUGUAGUCCAGCUGAUGCACGGGGGUCCAGGAAGGCUUCCAGGCCUAGGAUGGAAGUUCACUGUCAGCUUUUUUCCAUAAAGCAAAGGGAGAAUGGCCAAGGAGUGCAUGCUACCUAGAAUGUGGGCUACUCAGAAUGCUGGACUUACGUGUUUACCAGUGAGGGUCAGCACUUGGAUCAACAGCGUAGAGACCGGCCUCUCAGGUCUGCUGGAUUACCAUGGCCCACUGACUUCCUCAGCUCUGUUUGCUCCGUCUAUCUGCUUGUUGGCUCUUCGACUCUGUGCUGCCUCAUCUGCCGCAGGGAGAGAAGGGAGCCCUACCCCCAUGGUGGAAAACAGGGCGAAAUGGCGUUUCCCAAAGAUUUCACAUCAGCCACGGAUGAGAUUAGAAGAAGCCAACUCUGAGUCUGAAGAGAAAGACAUGCUGGAGAGUGAAAGCUGGAGCACCCGGGCAUAAAGCCUCCCCAGUGACAAAAGUUGAGAGAUGUCACGUGCCACACACCUUCAUCCUAG
rnacentral:lncRNA from 1 species